rnacentral:rRNA from 1 species
AUCUCUACGGGGCGCAGCAGUAGGGAAUUUUCGUCAAUGGGCGCAAGCCUGAACGAGCAAUGCCGCGUGAACGAGGAAGGUCUUCGGAUCGUAAAGUUCUGUUGAAGGGGAAAAAGAGCGGAGAGAGGAAAUGGUCUCCGAUUGAUAUUACCCUUCGGGGAAGUCACGGCUAACUACGUGCCAGCAGCCGCGGUAAUGCGUAGGUGGCGAGCGUUAUCCGGAAUGAUUGGGCGUAAAGGGUGCGUAGGCGGCCUGCUAAGUCUGGAGUGAAAGGUACCGGCUCAACCGGGACAUGCAGUG